UCAGUGUAUUUAGCUCAGUUGGUAGAGCAUUGGACUUCUAAUCCAAAUGUCCCGGGUUCGAUUCCCGGAAUCUGGA
rnacentral:tRNA from 1 species